ACAUUUUUUUAAUAUAAUUUUAUAAUUGUUCGCUUAAUUAAAAUAAUCUUUUUGUUUAAGUAUUUUUGGAAAAAUAAUUUAUGUUUAUAACUGAAGGGGUAUAUAAUUUAUGUUAGAUAAAGCAAAGAUAAAUAUGUACCUUUUGUAUCAGGGUAAAUUAACAAAAUUUAUGGAUUAUAUAUAUCCCGAAAUAAAAUGAUUUACAUUAUUUUGCUAUUUAUUGUUGUAUAAAUAUUAGUAAAUAUAGUUUGGAAAUGAAACUUUAACGAAUUUUUUGAUAUCUGGUUUCCUAAGAAAUAAAUUUAAUUUAAGAAAAUUAAUGGAUGUAAAAGUUAUUACAUUAAAUUUUCUAAUUAUGAAGAGGAUAAGCUCGUCAUAAAAUCUAUAAAUUCUUAUAUAAAAUGUAUAAUAGGCUUAAAACCAGCCAUUUUUGACUUAGUUAAAUUUCAUCUUUUAUUAUGAAUUAUUAAAUUAUUUUUAGUUAACUAUUAGGAUUUAAAUUAUAAUAAAUUAUUUUAAUUAUAAUGAUUUAAUUAGUAAAAUAUUUAAGUAAUAAUUAUGAAUUCGGCAAAUGUAAUUUUCACCUGUUUAUCAAAAACAUGUCUUUUAGAAUAGAAAAAUUAAAGGUCUGAUCUGCCCAAUGAUUACUGAAUGGCCGCGGUAAUCUGACCGUGCAAAGGUAGCAUAAUAAUUAGUCUUUUAAUUGAAGGCUUGUAUGAAUGAUUGGAUGAAAAAUUCACUUUAUUAUUUUUAAAAAUUGAACUUGAUCUUUAAGUUAAAAAGCUUAAAUAUAUGUGUGGGACGAGAAGACCCUAUAGAGUUUAAAAAAUUAAGGAGUUUACUAUUAUUAGGUUUUUACUGUUUAGUGAAUUAUUUCAUUUUUUUUAUUGGGGUGAUUUUGAAAUGCAAUAAACUUUCAAUUAAUUUUUCAUUAAUUAAUGAUUAAUUGAUCCUGUUUUAGGAAUAAAAGAAUAAAUUACCUUAGGGAUAACAGCAUAAUUGAAUUGGAGAGUUCAAAUCAAUAAUUUAGUUUGUGACCUCGAUGUUGGAUUAAGAAAAGACCUUGGGGCAAGUUUCAGGGAAUAAACUGGGUCUGUUCGACCCUUAAAUUCUUACAUGAUCUGAGUUCAGACCGGCGUGAGCCAGGUUGGUUUCUAUCUACACUUAUUUUUUUAAUAUUAGUACGAAAGGACCAUAUUAAAUGAUUUUAUUCAU
rnacentral:rRNA from 1 species